rnacentral:rRNA from 1 species
GCUUAACCCAGGAAUAGCCUCUGGAACUUCUUAGCUGAGUGGCAAAAAAGGAAAGGGGACUUCAUGUGUACGGUGGAAUGCGUAGAGAAUGGAGGACACCAGUGGCGAAGGCGACUCUCUGGUCUGUAACUGACGCUGAGGCUCGAAAGCAUGGGGAGCGAACAGGAUUAGAUACCCUGGUAGUCCAUGCUGUAAACGAUGAGUGCUAAGUGUUGGGAGGUUCCAUGCUCUCAGUGCUGAAGUUAACACAUUAAGCACUCCGCCUGGGGAGUACGACCGCAAGGUUGAAACUCAAAGGAAUUGACGGGGACCCGCACAAGCGGUGGAGCAUGUGGUUUAAUUCGAAGCAACGCGAAGAACCUUACCAGGUCUUGACAUCCUUUGACCACCUAAGAGAUUGGGCUUCCCCUUCGGGGACACUAUGACAGGUGGUGCAUGGUUGUCGUCAGCUCGUGUCGUGAGAUGUUGGGUUAAGUCCCGCAACGAGCGCAACCCUUGAUAUUAGUUGCCAGCAUUCAGUUGGGCACUCUAAUGUGACUGCCGGUGACAAACCGGAGGAAGGUGGGGAUGACGUCAAAUCAUCAUGCCCCUUAUGACCUGGGCUACACACGUGCUACAAUGGGCAGUACAACG